GCCCUGCCUGACUUCAAAUUAUACUACGAAGUGCUUGUAUUCAAAACUAAAUGGCUCUCCGAAGCUAAGCAGGGUCAGGCCUGGUUAGUACUUGGAUGGGAGACCACCUAGGAAGACCAGGUGCUGUAGGCA
ensembl:rRNA 5S_rRNA 5S ribosomal RNA